rnacentral:misc_RNA from 1 species
UCUGCAUUGAGGUAAAAAAAAGCAGACGAUUAACUCAACUCUUCUUUCAAGUUCACGCUUCACAUUGUUGUACUUUCUGAGCUUGUUUAAUGAUGUCCCUUUUUUUUUUUUUUUUUAUCCUGAUAUUUUGUGGAUAAAUUAAGAAUAUUUUUAAUUUCAGCACAUUUUAAUACAAUGACAGAUAACAAAUGCACUCGUGAUUUUACUGCUCGCAACGUUGAAAAAUGUAAACACGUUGCAUUGACGGUAAUGAAAAAAGUAGAAAUUCUGCUAAAGAUGGAAGUGGGUGCUACUGCUUGAUUUAUAGCAGAAUCGUAUAGAAUUGCCCCAAGGACUGUGUAUGAUAUAUGGAACAAAAAAGAAAAGCUGUUGAAAUUUUACAGCAACAGUGAUUCUAAUACCGGAAUCCGAAAUCAUUACAUAGGCGAAAUCGGCAAACCUCGAUGCUGUCUUGUACAAGUGGUUCCGGCAGCGGCGGAGUGAUUGGGUACCUAUUUCAGGACUACUCUUGAGCAGAUUCAUGCUGAUUUACAAAUAGAGGAGCCUAAUUGGACCAUUUAUCAAAAUAUUUGGCCAUGAGGUUUGCAUUGGACAAGCAAGAUGAACUAGGCUCUGAAGCUCCAUCUGAAAUCUCACCAUUUUCAAUUUACAUUGCAGUCACUCCUGGACAAUUUUCACUUCUUGAUG